GCCGGAACUUCCGAGGAGUUUCCCACCCCUCGACACGGAGAUAAUUGAAACGAGCACAAACCGCCAAAAAUCAACAUGUUCACCUCACCACCCACCAACCUUUUCGAGAACUGAGAAGGCAACGUGUUCAUCUCGACCAUCGCAACGAAAAUGAAACAAUAUUUCAGACCUGAGUCGUGUCUUCUUCCAGCACCUCCCUCCGAGGGAAGAGAAACGUCUUUCUAACCCAGUGAAAAUAGGGCGUUUUUUAUGUCAAGCUAAGACAAAUAUAUUUAGAGAAAUUUUAGAAA